rnacentral:lncRNA from 1 species
AGGAGAAUCAUUUUGCAUUGUAAGAGUGUCUUAGGUUCUUUUAGAUAGACAGAAAAAAAAGGUCAUGCAAAUUGUGAGUUUUAACUGUAAUCACAUGCUAAUUGAGGGACUGUCAAAGGUUUGCCCCAGAAGGACCUUUUCAAAGAGGUUAAAAACUUAUUCUAAUUAACAUACAAAUUGAGGCUUACAACCCAAAGAAGGCAAAACCCUCUACUCUUAAAGCAAACCCUAUCUAUAGAUGUCACAGAAAAGAAAUGUUUGCUUCUUUCUUGAAUGAAAAGGAAUUUUCCAUAUUGGAAAACUGGGGGUACAGUGAGAGAGGGGGAGACAAAGAGACAGAGAUCCAGGUAAAGAACCUGAUUAAGGCAGGCAGAACAUGACAAAGAUCAACCGAGGAGGAAUACAAGUAAGCGUGCCAAAUACAACAGUUCCCUCCUUUGAUGAGUGAGCUGGUGGGGGAUGGAGGUAGCUUCAGGAACCUUCCCCCGGCCGCCUGGGAGUCUGAAUAUCACAGCUGCUGCUCCUCUAUUCAGGGAAUGAUGAAUUAGCCACUGCUUAUCAGGCAACUAACAGAGCCAGCAAUAAAAAGAUUGCAAAGACACUGUCAGAAACAGCCCUUUUGAAACCGGAAACAAAGUUUUGGCCAGAGGUGAACAUGCACUCAUAUGUCUGAAAAAAGAAGUUUUUAAGAGGCUGGGGGUGGUGGUGGUGGGGGCAGCGCGUGGCGGCACCGACUACAGGUCUUUUAUUUUAGAAACAUAUCCACUUCAGUUGGUGAUUUUUCUGUCUUAAAGACCACCUUGGACUGCUACAUAGCUAAUAUGACCGGACAGCAAAGAGCUGUUUAAAACUGUCUAAAAUGUUAAGUGGGUGGGUAUCUACAGAUAAUCCCUGGCCCAGGGUUUCAAGUCUAAGGCUGCUUCAUUUUCAUAUGGUGACAGGGUAACCUGGAUUGCAGCAAGGCAGCAAGAAUAAGAAGGAAUACCUCGGGGAGAGAGAAAGGAUAAAUGAGAGAGGAGAAAGAGAGAAAACAGAAAUGAAAGCCAAACAAAAAAAUACAAUUAAAGUGACUUACUUUGUUGAUGCCAAUUUGGGCCAGUUAGCAAAACCACAGCAUUAUCAUUUGUCAAAGACGCAACAAAGGGUGGAUUUAAACAUCAAAGUUAGAUAUGUCCCUAAACCUGACCUGCUAAAGCCAAAUCAGCAUAUUAUUUCAAAGCCCUCUUACCUGGCAGCUGGUGCUAUGCUAGAAUGCUUUCCUUGGAAUUCCUAUCCUGGCGCAGCGGUAAUGAACCUGACUAGGAUCUAUGAGGACAUGGGUUCGACCCCUGGCCUCGCUUGGAGGGUCAAGGAUCCAGCCUUGCUGUGAGCUGUGGUGCAGGUUGCAGACUCGGCUCAGAUCCUACGUUGCUGUGGAUGUGGUAUAGGCUGGCAGCUGUAGCUCCAAUCGAUCCCUAGCCUGAGAAUUUCCAUAUGUCGCAGGUGCAGCCC